GCUGUAUUUCAACACGGAGGACGUCUAGCAGCAGCAAAAAGAAAUUCAAUUGACGAUAAUCAACUGUCGAAAGGAUUUGUUGUGAAGCAGAAUUUGUCAUUGAGCUGAUGGAAAAUGUGUCGGCACUCGGCUGUAUUUCAACACGGAGGACGUCUGGCAGCAGCAAAAAGAAAUUCAACUGACGAUAAUCAACUGUCGAAAGGAUUUGUUGUGAAGAAGAAUUUGUCAUUUUGCUGAUGGGAAAUGUGUCGGCACUCAGCUGUAUUUCAACAAGGAGGACGUCUAGCAGCAGCAAAAAGAAAUUCAACUGAUGAUCAACUGCCCAAAGGAUUUGUUGUGAAGCAGAAUUUGUCAUUGAGCUGAUGGAAAAUGUGUCGGCACUCGGCUGUAUUUCAACACGGAGGACGUCUGGCAGCAGCAAAAAGAAAUUCAACUGACGAUAAUCAACUGUCGAAAGGAUUUGUUGAAGAAUUUGUCAUUGAGCUGUUGGAAAAUGUGUCGGCACUCGGCUGUAUUUCAACACUGAGGACUUCUGGCAGCAGCAAAAAGAAAUUCAACUGAUAAUCAACUGUCAAAAUGAAGAAGAAUUUGUCACAAAGCUGAUGGGAAAAGUGUCGGCACUCGGCUUCGUUUCAACCCGGAGGAAGAUUGGCAGCAUUAUAGUAUAAGUUUUCCCCUUACGCAUUAGCGCUCAUCUCUCAUCCACUCAUCCAACACAUUGACUAUCGCCGGCCGGCAACACACACAUAUUAUACACAUUACCCGUUUUAUAUUAUAUAAUAUUAUUAAUAUCUACAAAUAGUUUAAGUUAUUGUAUAUUUUUUUUUAUUAUUUGAAUGCAUUCAUAUGAUCUCUGGCGUAUUUAGGAAUUUUAUGAUAAGGGCAACACAUAUUUUGCCGCCUCCCCCCUAUUAAAAAAUUUCUAUGCCGCGCAAUGGUGAAACUGUUAAUACCAUAGAAUACCAUGUUAUAUAAAUACUAUAGUAUUUUAUACCUCUGUGGCACACAUUUGUUGUGAAAAAUAUUAAUGAUUGACGUCACUGCGCCAGUACUCAUAAAGUACGAAAUAAAAAUUUGCCGUUCUGGACAACUGGACCCAAAGCCCCUACCAAAUACGCCCCUGCAUAUAAUGCGUUCUCGCUUACGAUGUGGAUUAGGCCUACUGGGGACACCACAAUAAAAAAACGCGCCUUGUGUAAUACCUCAUAAAGUUAUUAAACAAUACGGACAAUGUUAUUGUACGUCGUUUAAUAAUAAAGGUGGUGUGGAAAAUUACCUAACACUGUUAUUCUUAUCUUAUAGUUACCUUGCAUACAUUUUUUUUUAUUAAAUGCCAAUUAAAUA